UCGGGGGUCGUCUAAUGGCAGGACAACGGUCUUUGGAACCGUGAAUCCAGGUUCGAGUCCUGGCCCCCGAG
rnacentral:tRNA from 2 species